rnacentral:rRNA from 1 species
CCAGUGAGUUUUUAACGGCCGCGGUAUCCUAACCGCGCGAAGGUAGCAUAAUCACUUGUUCUUUAAAUGAGGACUUGUAUCAACGGCAUCACGAGGGUUUUACUGUCUCCUCUUUCUGAUCAGUGAAAUUGAUCUUCCCGUGAAGAAGCGGGAAUUUACAUAUAAGACGAGAAGACCCCAUGGAGCUUCAAACCUGACAACAACUUAACCGUGAACCCCCUAAUAGUUAUAAAGUAAUGCUGUAAGGUUUUGGGUUGGGGUGACCACGGAGUAAAACACAACCUCCAUGGCGAAAAGGCCACAAUCUUUAUUUAAGAACAACAAUUCUAGAAAUUAGGAUACUAACGCUUUAUGAUCCGACAAUCGAUCAACGGACCAAGUUACCCUGGGGAUAACAGCGCAAUCUACUUCAAGAGCCCAUAUCGACAAGUAGGCUUACGACCUCGAUGUUGGAUCAGGAUAUCCCAGUAGUGCAGCCGCUACUAA